AUUGAACGCUGGCGGCAUGCCUUACACAUGCAAGUCGAACGGUAACAGGUUAAGCUGACGAGUGGCGAACGGGUGAGUAAUACAACGGAACGUGCCCAGACGUGGGGGAUAGCUCGGCGAAAGCCGGAUUAAUACCGCAUAAGCUCUGAGGAGGAAAACGGGGGACCGUAAGGCCUCGCGCGUUUGGAGCGGCCGAUGGCAGAUUAGGUAGUUGGUGGGGUAAAGGCUUACCAAGCCUACGAUAUGUAGCUGGGCUGAGAGGACGACCAGACACACUGGGACUGAGACACGGCCCAGACUCCUACGGGAGGCAGGAGUGGGGAAUUUUGGACAAUGGGCGAAAGCCUGAUCCAGCAAUGCCGCGUGCAGGAUGAAGGCCUUCGGGUUGUAAACUGCUUUUGUACGGAACGAAAAGGCGCCUACUAAUACUGGGUGUUGAUGACGGUACCGUAAGAAUAAGCACCGGCUAACUACGUGCCAGCCGCCGCCGUAAUAC
rnacentral:rRNA from 1 species